rnacentral:rRNA from 1 species
AGCCUUUAGCCCUACUAGUAUUAAAGGUCUUGCCUGCCCAGUGACUCUUUAAACGGCCGCGGUAUCCUAACCGUGCAAAGGUAGCAUAAUCACUUGUCCCCUAAAUAGGGACUAGAAUGAACGGCUAAAUGAGGACAAAACUGUCUCUUGCAAGUUGGCCAAUGAAAUUGAUAUUCCAGUACAAAAGCUGGAAUAAACUCAUAAGACGAGAAGACCCUGUGGAGCUUUAAAACCAAACCCAUUAAAUAUGGUUCUUGAAUUUUUAGUUGGGGCGACUUUGGAGUAGAACAAAACCUCCAAGAAAACUUCUAUUAAGAUUAACACAUCAAAAUAAUAGUACAGACCCAGCAAUAUAUUCCCAUCUAUUGUCUGAUCAACGAACCAAGUUACCCCAGGGAUAACAGCGCCAUCCCCUUUUAGAGUCCUUAUCGACAAGGGGGUUUACGACCUCGAUGUUGGAUCAGGACACCCCAAUGGUGCAGCCGCCAUUAAAGGUUCGUUUGUUCAACGAUUAAAGUCCUACGU